GGCAAGUCUGGUGCCAGCAGCCGCGGUAAUUCCAGCUCCAAUAGCGUAUAUUAAAGUUGUUGCAGUUAAAAAGCUCGUAGUUGAACCUUGGGCCUGGCUGGCCGGUCCGCCUCACCGCGUGUACUGGUCCGGCCGGGCCUUUCCUUCUGGGGAACCUCAUGCCCUUCACUGGGCGUGUUGGGGAACCAGGACUUUUACUUUGAAAAAAUUAGAGUGUUCAAAGCAGGCCUUUGCUCGAAUACAUUAGCAUGGAAUAAUAGAAUAGGACGUGUGGUUCUAUUUUGUUGGUUUCUAGGACCGCCGUAAUGAUUAAUAGGGAUAGUCGGGGGCAUCAGUAUUCAAUCGUCAGAGGUGAAAUUCUUGGAUUGAUUGAAGACUAACUACUGCGAAAGCAUUUGCCAAGGAUGUUUUCAUUAAUCAGUGAACGAAAGUUAGGGGAUCGAAGACGAUCAGAUACCGUCGUAGUCUUAACCAUAAACUAUGCCGACUAGGGAUCGGACGGUGUUAGUAUUUUGACCCGUUCGGCGCCUUACGGGAAAC
rnacentral:rRNA from 1 species